rnacentral:rRNA from 1 species
UACGGAGGGUGCGAGCGUUAAUCGGAAUUACUGGGCGUAAAGGGCACGCAGGCGGGUUGUUAAGUGAGAUGUGAAAUCCCCGGGCUUAACCUGGGAAUAGCAUUUCAGACUGGGAGUCUAGAGUACUGUAGAGAGGGGUAGAAUUCCACGUGUAGCGGUGAAAUGCGUAGAGAUGUGGAGGAAUACCGGAGGCGAAGGCAGCCCCUUGGGAAUGUACUGACGCUCAUGUGCGAAAGCGUGGGGAGCAAACAGG